rnacentral:lncRNA from 1 species
GGGACGCCGAGGGGAGGAGGAGGAGGCGGCUCGGAUGGCUGGCUCGGCUCUCGCUCGCUCUCCCUCCCAUGGGCAAGUCCGGCUCACACCCUGCUUCUCCCGCUCACUCACAGCCCCCUUGGCUCUCCCUCCUCCUCCUCCUUCCCCUGCGGGAUCCGCUCGCCGCCGCCGCCGCCGCCGCAGACGGCAAGUCGUGGCAGCCAGACGUCGGCGCGUAACCCGGCGCUCCGUGCGUGACUCCAGGCGACGUCAGCGCGCGCUCCGCGUUCCCCACCCCUCCUCCCAACUCCGUGGCUCGCGCCCUUCGCUCUCGCGUCCCUCCGUUUUAGCUGCCGCCGCGGCGGCCGCCGAGCGCGCUCUUUCCGCCCCCUUCUCGCGCGUGAGCGCGCCCUAUCGGCUCCUGGCGCGUCAACAUUCCGCGGGCCAGGCCUUGGGGCGCGUCUGAGGAGGGGGAUGUCUGUGGCCUCUCCGCCCACACUUCCUCCACCCACCGCCCACAGCGCCCCAGAAGGACCUAUUACUCGUUUGGCUUCUGAAGGCCGAAGCCAGGCUCUGGCGGGGAUAGAACCCUGAAGGGCCUGCGCCAGCUCCAACUUAGGGCCCUGUGCGUCGUUGCGACUUCUGCUACCACCCUAUCACGCGGCACCCCCGCCCCAACUCCGCCCGGGUCUCUGAAGAGGCAAUAGGCCUUUCAUCUCCGGGGAAAGUCUCACCUUGGCCCUCAGACACCCGCCAAGAGGGGUCGGAAGGACAGAAUUAGCAUAGAGAAGAGUGGCUAGAGCACUUUUCAGGCUCUGGCCCCAGGAAUCCUUGACAGGAAGCGUGGGGUUGCUGCCCAGCCUCCCACGCAGUGUAAUAUGUUGAAGCCGGGCCCCUUUGAGGGAAUGCGACUUCCUUGGGCCGAGGGGGAAAGGGUAAAAGUUAAUUUUCAUAAAAUGCUAUGCAAGGGCUAAAUGUGAAAUUAUAAAAUGUCCUUUAAGACAGUCUUCUUGAAAUCGUAUCAAGUUUGACAAGAUUUUUGGUGCACGGUAACGCUUUUGCUCGCUUUCUACGCUGUCACGUCUCCAUCCUGCAACACUGAAUACGUAGAUGGAACGUGGAUCAGCUAAUAACUGCAGCAAAAUAAAAACUGCAUUUAUCAUCUUUAUCAUUAUUUAAAUAGACCUCCGAGAAGUCAAACUGUGAUUUAGGAAAACUUAAUCAUUGCCUCAACCUAUUUAACUAUUUUGUUUUGAAGUUACUUUGCAAAUAUACCACAAAAUCCCUCUUUGUUAGGCAGUGGUAGACUUUUAAACUCACUUGUUAGAGAAUCUUUCCCAGAAGCAUAUCUAGUUGAGCCUGCGAGGCAAGUAGGACUAAGGUAUAAUUACUCCCAUUUUACAGAUGAAAAUUUAGUUAUCAAAAUGUAAGUCAGUUGUUCAGCAUUGUGAGGAGUCUAUCACUGAUAAAGGGAAAACUCUAAGGUCUAUUAUUGCCUGCUUUAUUCACUAAACCAGAAAUCUCUCAAUUGUUUUUUUCCAAGUAUCUUUUGCUGCCUCUUACGUAUUGUAGGCAGUGCCUGAUGGCUGAGAAGAAUCGCAGAGGACUAGAAAAGGUUUGAGUCUGAAAUUAUCUGGCACAGAGGAUUAAAGCUCAGAAAUAAGUGAUUGCGAAACAGUUCAACUUCCCUGUUAAUGACAACAACAACAGCAACACGCUUAUUAAUUCCUAGCUGGAGGCAUCAAGCUUAUGAAGAUUUCCAAGACUUUAUUGUUGACCCUUGUUGAAGAGAACUCUACUUGGCUUCUUUCCUGGCUUUCCUAAAUUGUUCACAUACAAGAUAAACUACCGUCAUUCAGACUUACAGAAGUGAGAAGACAAGCUGAACCAAAUGUAAAAUGGUAGCAAUUUACAGGAUGUCAGAACUAACAUGUGGAUGAACUUAGAGAUGGAGAAGAAAGCUGGGCUUUUCCAAAGAGUGGAUCUAUCUGAACUGGAUAGCACUAUUGAACUUUGUUGCAUAUUUUGUGGUAGCUCUAAAACUCCUCUGCUUGCUUACAUACAACCAGACACCAGUGCCUUCUGAAGCUAAUCCAGGCCAUUUUUAUAACCUAAUGCAGUAGCACUUUGCAAUUAGAUGAAGAAGAUCGGUGGGAUUUCUUUCUGUGGUGAUUAAAAUGUGUCAGGGGAAGAAAUCAAGACAAUACUCCAAGUGAAAAAUAUAAAGUCAGUUAUUUCUUUAAUAUUUUGUGUUAUAGUAAUCAUUUUUAUAUUUUGAGCAUACUUUUUCUUGUCUACUUAAAUACUCAAAAUUAAUUAUAAAAUGUAAAUGUAAGCACAAUGAGAUACCAUCUCAUCCCAGUUAAAAUGGCUUUUAUCAAAAAGAUAGGGAAUAAUGAAUACUGGUGGAAGGAUGUGGAGAAUGGGGAACCCUCGUACACUGUCAAUGAGAAUGUAAAUUAGUACAGCCACUAUGGAAAACUGUAUGGAAGUGCCUCCGAAAACAAAGUAGAACUACCAUGUGAUCCAGCAAUUACACUAGUGGGUAUAUAUUCAAAAGAAAGGAAAUCAACAUAUUAAAGAGAUAGCUGCAUUCUCAUGUUUAUUGAAGUCCUGUUGAAAUAGCCAAAAUAUGGAAUCAACCUAAGUGCCCAUCAGUGGAUGAAUGGUUAAAGAAAAUGUGAUUGAUAUGCAAUGGAAUAUUAUUCAGCCAUAAAAAAGAAUGAAAUCCUGGCGGGGCACAGUGGCUCAUGCAAGUAAUCCCAGCACUGACCUCAUGAAGACAGAGAGUAGAUUGGUGGUUACCAGAGGUUGAGAAGGGGAGAGGAGAGGAGGGAUGAAGAGAGGUUGAUUGAUGGAUAGAAAUAUACAGUUUGAUAAUGAUAAAUCAGUAGGGUGACUAUAGUUUAUAAUAACCUAUUGUAUGGUUCAAAAUAGCUAAAAGAGAAUAAUUGAAAUAACGUAAGACAAAAAUUUAAGAUGAUAGAUAUCCCAAUUACACUGAUUUGAUCUUUACAAAUUAUAUGAAUGUAUUAAAUUAUUACAUGUAUCCCCAAAAUAUGUACAAGUAUUUUGUAUCAAUAAAAAAUAAAAUUUAAGAUAAAGUAAAUGUAAUGAUUAGCUUAUAUUUCCUAGAUCGGAAAUAAAUAUUUACUUAAGUAU